rnacentral:lncRNA from 1 species
GGGCUCGGCUUACGUGCAGGACAAUUCACGGACGUGAAGCAGCUGGACAGUGAGGCUUGGACGGAGCUGCUGGACGUUGGCGAGGAUUCGGCUUGCUGUGGUUGCGUGGACGGCUUCAACAGACGCUGCUUCGGUUGCUCGAUGUUGAGGCCGCUGGAAGAAAAGGCCGAACUGGUGGGCUCGAUGGAGAUGGGAUGAGCGAACUGCACGUGGGGAUGGCGUCGGUUGAGAAGGAGAUGGACAAAGAUGGCAGCAUCCGUGGAAGACCGAAUAUGAGAGGAGAAUAAAGGAACGGGCAGCGUCGGUUUAUGGAAAAGAAAAC